AGAAUAGUAUUUUAUUAUUCGGACAUAACUAAAGAGAGAAUGCUGACAUGAGUAACGUUAAAAUAGGUGAAAAUCCUAUUCGCCGAAAAUGGAAGGUUUUUAUAGUUCCGCUUAACUACUAUAAAUCAGAUCGGUCUCUAACAGUAAUUCGAAUGAAUAAUGGAUGAGAAACAUAUAUAAAAAUCGUAAGAUUCAGGAAAAAUUAUAUGUAAUAACCGUACUAAAACCGACACAGGUCCAUGAAUAUUAAUGUAUACAGGCGAAUGAGAGAAUUAUUGCGAAGGAACUCGGCAAAUGAAUUUCGUAAUUUCGAGAUAAGAAAUACCAAUGGUGUCAAUAAUGAGGUUGUACAACUGUUUACUUAAAACACAGUACUUUGCAAAGAUUAAAAAUCAUUGUAUAAAGUAUGAAAUCUGCCCAAUGCUAAAUGAUAAAAUCUAUGGCUUCAAUGGCUGUGGGUAUAAUGUUUAGUGAAUGGCGGCCUUAACUAUAAGGGUCCUAAGGUAGCGAAUUUCCUUGGCCGUUAAAUGCGGUCCCGCACGAAUGAUUUAAUGAUACAACAACUGUCUCCGCAAUAAACUCAGUGAAAUUGGAUUAGCCGUGAAGAUACGGUUUGUAUAUAGAUAGACGGGAAGACCCUAUGCAGCUUAACUGUUGUUCUUUAUUGUUUUUUUAAAUUCUCUUCUGUAGUGCUAAAAGGUAGUCGAUGAGAUGUCAGUGAAAAACCUUUGUGGAAAUUUAAAAUAACUAACUUACUUAAUUAAGAACAGUGAAGAUUAGACAGUUUCUGUGGGGCGCAGAUCUCAAAAAUUGUAUCUGAGAUGCCCAAAGGCAUGGUGAAAUUGGAUGGUAACCAAUGAAUGUACAUUUGUAUAUCUAGUGGUCUUUAAUUACUAGAUGAUGUUUUAUUUAAUAAAGUGUAAUGGCAUAACUCAUGCUUAACAGUAAGACUAACAAGUCAAACUGACAUGUAAGUGGGGCAUAAUGACCCUCGUUUACAUUAUGGAUUGGAACGAGAGUAACGAAUAAAAGCUACGCUAGGGAUAACAGGGUUAUUUCGUGUGAGAGAUCGUAUUGACCACGAAGUUUGCCACCUCGAUGUCGACUCAACCUAUCCUCCAGGAGUAGAAUAUUGGAAGGGUUCGGCUGUUCGCCGAUUAAAAGGUUACGUGAGUUGGGUUAAAAACGUUGUGAAACAGUUUGGUUCCUAUCUUCUAUAUAUUUUAAAAGUUAAUGGAGAAUUUACUCUUUGUACGCAAGGAUCAGAUGUAUUUUAACCUCUGGUUUGUCUGUUGUUUGUCGCAUCGCAGAUACGCUAUGUUGAUACGGAAUAAAUAUUGAAAGCAUAUUAAAUAUGAAGUCCUACUCCAUAAACUUUCUUGCGUUGUAGACUACGACGUAGAUAGGCUUUAUCUGUAAGAAUAGUAAUGUUUUAAGGUAUAAAGUACUAAUUUUUUUUUUGACUGAAUUAUACACUUAUUG
rnacentral:rRNA from 1 species